GCUGGGUGUGAUGGCUCAUGCUUGUAAUCCCAGCAGCUCAGGAGGCUGAGGCAGGAGGAUGGAGAGUUCAAGGUAAGACUCAGCAACUUAGUGAGGCCCUAAGCAAAUCAGUGAGACCCUGUCUCUA
rnacentral:sRNA from 1 species